rnacentral:rRNA from 1 species
UACGAAGGGGGCAAGCGUUGUUCGGAAUUACUGGGCGUAAAGGGCGCGUAGGCGGUGCAUUAAGUCAGGCGUGAAAGCCCUGGGCUCAACCCGGGAAUUGCGCUUGAUACUGGUGCGCUUGAAUCCAAGAGAGGGUGGUGGAAUUCCCAGUGUAGAGGUGAAAUUCGUAGAUAUUGGGAAGAACACCAGUGGCGAAGGCGGCCACCUGGCUUGGUAUUGACGCUGAGGCGCGAAAGCGUGGGGAGCAAACAGG